GGGCUUGACAUCCCACGAACCUGCCGAAAGGCAGGAGUGCCCGCAAGGGAGCGCGGAGACAGGUGGUGCAUGGCUGUCGUCAGCUCGUGUCGUGAGAUGUUGGGUUAAGUCCCGCAACGAGCGCAACCCUCGUCUUCUGUUGCCAUCAGGUUACGCUGGGCACUCUGAAGAGACUGCCGGUGACAAACCGGAGGAAGGUGGGGAUGACGUCAAGUCAGCAUGGCCUUUAUGUCUGGGGCCACACACGUGCUACAAUGGCCGGUACAAACCGUUGCGAUCCCGCAAGGGGGAGCUAAUCGGAGAAAGCCGGUCUCAGUUCGGAUUGCAGGCUGCAACUCGCCUGCAUGAAGUUGGAAUCGCUAGUAAUCGCGGAUCAGCACGCCGCGGUGAAUACGUUCCCGGGCCUUGUACACACCGCCUGUCACAUCACGAAAGCCGGCUGUACUCGAAGUCGCUGAG
rnacentral:rRNA from 1 species